CCUACGGGAGGCAGCAGUGGGGAAUUUUGGACAAUGGGCGCAAGCCUGAUCCAGCAAUGCCGCGUGCAGGAUGAAGGCCUUCGGGUUGUAAACUGCUUUUGUACGGAACGAAACGGUUCUCUUUAAUACAGGGGGCUAAUGACGGUACCGUAAGAAUAAGCACCGGCUAACUACGUGCCAGCAGCCGCGGUAAUACGUAGGGUGCGAGCGUUAAUCGGAAUUACUGGGCGUAAAGCGUGCGCAGGCGGUUAUAUAAGACAGAUGUGAAAUCCCCGGGCUCAACCUGGGACCUGCAUUUGUGACUGUAUAGCUAGAGUACGGUAGAGGGGGAUGGAAUUCCGCGUGUAGCAGUGAAAUGCGUAGAUAUGCGGAGGAACACCGAUGGCGAAGGCAAUCCCCUGGACCUGUACUGACGCUCAUGCACGAAAGCGUGGGGAGCAAACAGGAUUAGAUACCCUGGUAGUCCACGCCCUAAACGAUGUCAACUGGUUGUUGGGUCUUCACUGACUCAGUAACGAAGCUAACGCGUGAAGUUGACCGCCUGGGGAGUACGGCCGCAAGGUUGAAACGUCAAAUGAAUUGACGG
rnacentral:rRNA from 1 species